rnacentral:lncRNA from 1 species
CAGGCGCGUGAUGAAGUCGUCGGUGCGGUACGGGCGGAACUGGACCUCUGGGAGAAACGGAAUUCCGGGAAUUAGCACGGAUCCUGUGGGAAUUGGCCGUUAUCCGAGAAAAAUCCCGGAAUUAUCGACACAUCCCAUGGGAAUUGGCCGUUAUUUGACAAAAAUCUGGGAAUUAUCAAUGGAUCCUAACGGGAUUUGCCAUUAUCCAAUAAAAUCCUUGGAAUUCUCACUGGAUCCAAAACUGGAAUCGCUGGGAUGCUCCAAAGUUGGGAUUCCAGUCCCUCCCAGUCCAUCCCAGUCCCAUCCCAGUCCAUCCCAGUCCAUCCCAGUCCAUCCCAGUCCAUCCCAGUCCAUCCCAGUCACUCCCAGUCCAUCCCAGUCACUCCCAGUCCAUUCCAGUCCAUCCCAGUCACUCCCAGUCCAUUCCAGUCCAUCCCAAUCACUCCCAGUCCAUCCCAGUCCAUUCCAGUCACUCCCAGUCACUCCCAGUCCCAUCCCAGUCCCAUCCCAAUCUAUCCCAGUCCCAUCCCAGUCCAUCCCAGUCCAUUCUAGUCCAUCCCAGUCACUCCCUGUCCAUCCCAGUCCCAUCCCAGUCCCUCCCAGUCCAUCCCAGUCCCCUCCCAGUCCAUCCCAGUCCCAUCCCAGUCACUCCCAGUCCAUCCCAGUCCAUUCCAGUCCAUCCCAGUCCCUCCCAGUCAAUCCCAGUCCAUCCCAGUCACUCCCAGUCCAUCCCAGUCCAUCCCAGUCCAUCCCAGUCCAUCCCAGUCCAUUCCUGUUCCUCUUAGUCCAUCCCAGUCCAUCCCAGUCCAUCCCAGUCCAUCCCAGUCACUCCCAGUCCCUCCCAGUCACUCCCAGUCCAUUCCAGAGCCUUAUCUGACAAAAAUCUGGGAAUUUUCAGUGCAUCCUAUUGGUGUUCACCAUUAUCCAAUAA